AGCUGUAAUGUCACACUUGGGAUGCACAUACAGAGUACAAAUAUAAAAAAAUAUUACUAUUGGCUUUAAAAGACCUAUAGCGAAAUUAGUUACUCUAUUCAUCCCGGGAAGGUCUGAGUAAAGGUCGCGGUGCAAAGUGGUCACCGUCCCUUCUAGCUGGAGGCAUUGCUAAUAGUGAUGGCAGAGAAACAAGAAACACUAACUUCAGGGCUGGUCGAGGAUUCUUAUAGAGGAGAUUUAACCUUAAAAGUUAUUGGAAUUCUCUGCGACCAGCAAUUUUAGUACAAUCUGUGACACGGAUAUCCAUCCGUAACUCAAUUCAGACUAGUCUUCGGCUUGCU
rnacentral:RNase_P_RNA from 2 species